GCAUGAAGUCGGAAUUGCUAGUAAUCGCGGAUCAGCAUGCCGCGGUGAAUACGUUCCCGGGCCUUGUACACACCGCCCGUCACACCAUGGGAGCCGGUAAUACCCGAAGUCAGUAGUCCAACCUCGUGAGGACGCUGCCGAAGGUAGGAUUGGCGACUGGGGUGAAGUCGUAACAAGGUAAC
rnacentral:rRNA from 1 species